rnacentral:lncRNA from 1 species
AGUCCAACUAUAGGGUGAGGGGGGAAGACCUUCGGAGGGAACUUUGGAAGAGGAGGAAGCUUAGGAACUGGUGGAAAGGGUUUCUUGAAGGGGAAUGGUGGUUUUGGGAAAAAUGGGAAAGGUGGAAGUGGCUUCUGGUACACGGGAGGCUUGUAGAUUGGCACCGCCGGUGGGAGUGGCUUCUGGUACACCGGAGGCUUGUAGAUUGGCACCGGCGGUGGAAGUGGCUUCUGGUACACGGGAGGCUUGUAGAUUGGCACCGGCGGUGGGAGUGGCUUCUGGUACACGGGAGGCUUGUAGAUUGGCACCGGAGGCUUGUAGAUUGGCACCGGCGGUGGGAGUGGCUUCUGGUACACAGGAGGCUUGUAGAUUGGCACCGGCGGUGGGAGUGGCUUCUGGUACACAGGAGGCUUGUAGAUUGGCACUGGCGGUGGGAGUGGCUUCUGGUACACAGGAGGCUUGUAGAUUGGCACGGGCGGUGGACAUGGCUUUUUGACUACUGGAGGCUUGUAGAUUGGCACUGGCGGUGGAAGUGGCUUCUUGUACACCGGAGGCUUGUAGAUUGGCACGGGGGGUGGAAGAGGUUUUAUGAUUGGAGGAGGCUUGAUUAUGGGAACAGGCGGAGGAAGUGGUUUUUUGUAGAUUGGGAUUGGUGGUGGAAGUGGCUUCUUGUAAAUAGGGAUUGGUGGGAGUGGUUUCUUGUAGAUUGGGGGGAAAGGCAACUUAGGCAAAGGAGGGUGUGUAAACCAGGGAUGGCCCGUGGGCAAAGGUGGAUUCUUGAAGAAUGGCCACAAGAAAGCUGAAGCACACAGUGCUGAGGUGAACUUGACACUUUCAGCUGGACCAAAAGUCAGUUUUCCAUCAGUAUCUGGCUUGGCUACAAUUUUGUUGGCUUCAAGGCCAUUGUGCGCUGGGCAUGGGGUUGCUGAUGCACUAUGGAGUUGUGCAAAGCACUCCUCAUCUAGUUUCCCAUCUUUCAGAAUUUCUCUGGGAACGGAUACCCUGAACUUCCCUUCUGAAUCAAGCUCUCCAGAACCCCUUCUUGUCACCUCUCCAUUUUUGAGCUUGCAAUCAACAGUCACACGUAGCCCUGCAAAAGGCAAAAUCAAGAAUAUUCAAGGACUCUUUAUAAAGACGAUAGACUACACUGCAUGCAUUUUGGCCAUCAGUAGCAGAUACUUUUGGUUAUUUUUGUCAAUUAGCCUGAAUCCAUGCCAUGCCUCUCUCAACUGCAAAAUCUUUACUGCUGCGGCCCCAUUUAAGUAAAGUUAAAAUGAGCCAACAUCAUCAGAUCAAGGAUUAAUGCAUGGGACAAGCAUGAGAUGUAGACAGAGAUCUACCACACAAGUAAUUAAGUACAUGUACAGGUUCCAGUAAGUACAGCCGAAAGAAUGGCCUGCCAUUUUUAGUAAAUUUGGGAAUAUAUUGAAAGCGGUCAUGCUGUGCAAUUUGAGCUGUUUCACAUGAGCAAGCUAGGAUAAAACUAGUACGUUGUCAGAUACCCCUUACAAAAAGGUACCCAGGAUAGGACAAACCUGAGAAGGCCUGGCUAGUCUUGAUCUUAAAGUCCUUGCAAUCUGCGCAUUCUCCAGCCCCAACAACCUGGACCGUUUUGUCAUCAGCACGGCAAAAGCUGACAACAAAGAAGAUGCUAACCAAUAAGAACAGGAGAUGGGAAACACCCCUCAUUGAGUUUGCGGUUCCCUUCUCUCUUGUGAAACUAGUUUUGAGUGAUUUGAGUCAGAAAAGCGUUGUCAUAUAUAUAAUGAUGAUGAUCGCCAGGGGGAAGGGUCCGCCGACACCAAAACUUAAAGGGCAUCACAUGAGGUUAGGUCCCAGUGAGCUUGACUUAUGCCCCGGGAAAACAUUUCUCAAGCAUAAGUGAUCAAUGGCCAUUAUCUUCAUUCAAUGUCCUUUCAACUGCACAACCCGACUUUGUCCAUCUGUAAACCUACUUACCAGCGCCAUAAUUAAAUAUCACUCGCUAUUCUAAAAUCCCAUGUUGAAUUCGUGAAAGAUUUAUAUUGGGCUUUCUUUAGUUCCAAGAGUUAUUUUUGGCAGCAAAGCAUGGGCUCUAGCCAGUAAAGAAGUACCUGGACUUCUUGCUUAGAGAAUUACACACACACAAACAGAAAAACAAAAAGAGAAGGGCGCCAUGUGCUAGACAUUAAGUGACUAACUCCAAAAUCUCAAAAUCCAUGUGAAUAAACAAGCUUUUUACCCUAAUAAAUGAAUUUCCUCAACAGUCUCUCGGCCUUGCUGCAAUUCGAUUGGCCAGUAUUCAACCGUACAAGAAUUGCUUUCUUUCCAUUGCAUAAUGCACGAGAGACUGUUAAACAUGUCAGAUUAUGAGAAACUAUAUGUUGUUAUUGUUUCGCCAUGUCAGACUGUGGGAUACGGAAUUUUGAUUACAUACAGUAAUGGGUUAGAGCAAGGAGUAGUUAAGCUCUAGUUCGUACCCAAUAAUCGAGUUGCUACUGGAAAAAACUUGAAUGCAGCAGCUGGAUGGCAAUAAUGUUCACACUGCCCAUGGCUCUUGACUAGAAACUUGGCCUAAUUGAUCGGCCACUCUAACCAACCAAAGCAUGCUUCCCACCUAUGUUUCAAGGGCACAUGCACAGCCCCUUUCGGCCAGGAAGACAAGUAGGUGGCUGAAUUGUAAAGACUAGCUCAAAAAGACAGAUUUAAACAUGAAAAUGAUGUUCUAGCUAAUUAACAGGCGCUUUACUCGAUUCCUCCUGUGUAACAUUCCACGAAUUCAAAUGAGAGCCCUAAAGUUCCCUUCCGAUUCUUAGUAUUGAGAGCUGCAAUUAACCAUCCUAUAUAGUGUUCCGUAGGGAAGUUAAAAGCCUCAAAGGUCAUUCCUAAAUGGGAGUGAAAACAAGAAAUGGAAGUUCUUGCUAAAAAAGAAGAAGGAAGAAAGGUUGGGAUGCAGUGUUUGAUAAUGCCCGUCCGACACAAGAAAGAUAAUGUCCCCUGUAGAAAGAUAAUUACCAUAGAAGCCGCACACAAGGCUAUCAAAAAACUGAAUAAUGUAACGUGGUAAAGUAGCAUAUCAUGUACCAUGAAAUAGCUCUCCAUAGUUAAUUAAUCAAUCACUGCUGAUCAAUUCAGUCGUAGAAUUUGAGCGUAAACUAGGUUCAAAAGAUUGGUGAAAUGAGAUACUCCCUCCGUCCCACCUUCUUGAUAGUCCUGUUUUCCUUUUUCGUCUGUCCCAAAUUGUAGUCCACUUUCCAAUUGAAGAAUGUAGUUAUAUUUUAACUUUCAUAAAAUACCCUUAUUUAAUGUAAGUUGUUAUUACUAUAAACCUACCUACCCCAUUUAAUGAGAGUUAAUUCUCUUUUUACCAUCAAUUCAAGUUCCCAUAAAAUUGUACUCUAUUUAAUGUGAGAGUAUUUUAAAAAAAUAGCAAUCUAAAUUUAUUUUUCUAAUAAAAUUAACUACUUUUUCUUAAACUGUGUGAAAAAAGAGACCGAACUAUUAAGGUGGGACGGAGGGAGUACAUGUAAAGAACAUAAAACAAAAGAAAGAAAAACUGGUAAACGAAAAGGACUUGCAUGAAGUAGAGAAGAAAUCAGGUUAGAAUGGGUUUUGGUUGCUUUCUGGUACGCCAGUUUAAAUCACCUCAUCUAAGUUAAGCGACACUUAACCAGAAGAUUCGGUCCAUUUAAUGUAAAUGAAUCAACAAUCUGACUGUUUUGCUGACCAGAAGUGGGCCCAAUGAAGAAAAGAAAGCUCAAACCGAGCGAAUUAGUAGUACUUAAAAUAUAUAUAUAUAUUGGGAGUGCAGCUUAAGACGGUCAAUUUAUUAUUGCGUUUUCUGUUUCUUUAGUGUGUAUGAAAUGAACCCGCAUCUUGACUUGAUUUUGGUGUUCCUUUAACCAGCCCCUCAAUAGUGACAGAUAAUAGUCUCUGCGGCAUUAAUGUCCGGGGCAAAUAUCUGCGAUAUGUGCUUUGGAUUUGUUAAAGUCCUCAUAAUGCAGGAAGCUCUGUAGCCACUAAUGUAGUGAGUGCAUACUGCUAAUUUAUUCAUUCAUCUUCAUAUGCAUAUCAGUGGAAGCGGCAAGCCAAUCGUACGUAACCUGUAAUUGUAGAAUCAAAUAUUAACAACACUACAAGGGAUUAAUACAUACCAAUUAUAUACUUCAGCAAAGUUGCAAUUAAUAACUCACAAAUUGUGGUUAUUAAAAACUAAUACCAAUUAUGCACAAGUUUAAAGAAAAGACGAGGUACCCACACAGAGUGUGCCUUUUCCAACACUGAAAGUUGCAGUCUUAUUCUCUAUCGAAGUUUGUAAAUGACUUCGAAUUCAAUUUUAGGGUUAGUUGACAUCCAAGAAUCCUUCUUUCUUUUCAAGAGAAGAAGAAAAGACAACAGACGCUAUCGGUUACAACUGGAAAAAUCAUCAGCCGCUGUCAUUUUUACGACCUGCUUUACUGCAGUUGCCCUCUGGGACAGAAAUAUAAAUCCCUUGACAGUGGACAUUAUCACUUUCUCCAUGUCCUUUUCUCCAAGCGCAUCAGAAUCCAGUGCUGGAAUGUCGGUUUCAGAAUUUACAGUUUCCAGUGUUCACCCUAAAAUUUUGAGAUAAUUUAACGUAAGACAGUUUCUUCUAUUCUAUCGAGCAAAUCAGUCCCAACAGUGACACUUCUCAGAUUACUUGAGCUAAUACUCAGUUUUAUUAACAUAUGCCAUCAUGCUUAUUUUCUGUCGGGUACUUUCAAAAAUCACAUCCGUCCAAAACCAUCGCCCUCCGAUUCUUGUCAAUGCCAACAAACAACUCUUUAAUUACUAUAAUAAGUGGGCAGACAACACAGAUUUUUCAGCCCAGGAGCAACACUGUUCACAAUCUUCAAUAUCAUAGUCAUACCGCUGUCACGGAACCCACCCACAAAACACACAAAGGGAGCGGUCCUCCUCUUCUCAAAAAAUUAAAAAAAAGGAAAUAAAAUCAUGCAGCCAUUCGACCAUAGAUAUGCUCAAUUUGUGGACUCGUCUGGCCUGCUUGGGGCGUUUGAUCGGCCCAGCAGACAAGACGCCACCAAUAAGGACACAGUUGUAAUGGGAAAAUUCGCUCUGGCAGACUGGUCCCAACUCCCAACUUGUAGUACCAUCCAUGAAACAGCAAGAUGAACAUGAACAUACCUUUUUAAGGAAAAAUCCGUGUUUCACAAAAUUGUUUUUGUUUUUUUACCUGAUCAAUUCUCAACUAAUUUGGCAUUAAGAAAGGCUCAGCUUUCAAAAUCUCUUAAUUUAACAAAAUGAGUUUUCUUCCUCCUCCUACAACAGUGAGGCAAUAAGUCGUUCUCAAGUUUAAUUCCAAAAGAACAUUCCACCUUCUGGGGCUCCUUCACUAUCAAAGAUGCCUAAGCUGUGUUACAAGAACUAUGGCCUUGUCAAAACUCUCCUGAAGGGCAAGUGACCUCAGCAAGGUUUAUCUACUUCUUCUUCUUUAAUUUGCUGGAUUGAGACUGACUAUAAGCAGUUCCCUGUGAGAAAAAGCGUGGGCAAUUUAAUGAAGAUAUUUCAUAAAUUACUCCUCGAAAAGGUAUCUAGAAGGUAAAAAAAUAUUCCUCAGUUAAAAACUUUGGAUGGCCACAGUGCACAAACUACAAACCUCCAGCCACUCAUCCAUAGAGGCAUCAGUUGUACCAGUUCCAACCUCCACCUUUGGCGCCCUCUUGCUUUUCUGAUAAAGAGAAAUAAAUAGGGGAGUGAAAACAAGUAAAGGGAAAGGAGGGCAGGCAAAUGCAGAUAACACUUAACGACCUAUGAUCAAUUGAAAUUAACCCUUUCAGAAAAGUCUAACAGAUGAGCUAUUGUCUUAUUAACUUCUACUUUUCCUGUCAUAUGGAACAAUUGGAAGGGGAUAAAACAUUAAAUGCAAAGUAAUCACAACUCUUCUUAUGACAUUGUCAUAUGCUCUUCCCUCUCUUGGUUAGACAAUAAGAAAUUUGACUAUAGGUUUUCCUGACACAUUCUGUAGAUUGCAGCUAUGUGAUGCUAGUUUCACGUGCUAUACCAGACAAGAAGCGUGCUAUACCAGACAAGAAGCAGGUCAAUGUCUAUAGAAAUGUCAAUGAAUCAGACAAUGCAUUAGAUAUCCUUUUUUUUCUCUCGAAAACAAAACAAUGCUCUACUUCCUAGUAAUGGGAACAAAUAUUACUUUUAGAUCCCAAGAAAGAAGAGAAUACAGGAAAGUAUCAAUAAAUGAAGUUGACUAGAACCAUUCCUUCUCAAUCUAAAGAGUUACUAAUAUUAGGCAUCUGAUUAUUGAGAUGCAUUCAAUAACAAGAAGCCCCAAUCCAAGGCAGUAACUUAAAACAUUAAUCAUCUCCCCAAGAUAUCCAGUGCAAACACAGCCACUAACAGAUUUUAUAAGAAAUGCCAAGAUACUUUCUGUUCAGCUUCUAAGAAUUAUCUUACAUUUUAAAUCAUCCAGAUUACCACAACCUUUGGCUACUGUUGUAUCUGAAAGGAAAAAGGUCAACUCACCUUUGACCAAUGUUGUAUCUGAUUCCGUAUCCAAAAUACUGCAAAGCCAACAAAAGCAAUUGCAAGAGAAACUAAGAAAACAGAUUCCACGCUCAGAGGACCACCAGCCUCAGUUACUUCAAUAGUACCAUUGUAGAAGGUACUUUGAUAGGGAUGUUGAUCUAUUUCAUAGACAAUUGUGCCCACAAGAUCAAAUGCUCCAGCCUGCAAAAUAGAAAAGUAUAAUAAGUAAAGCAGCCUUUGCAAUGAAUUUUAUCGAUUUAAGUAGUAAAGUAAAUGGAAGAUGUUAUGAAAACAAAUCAAGAAAACUAUAUUAGCUGCAAGUAAUUAACCUAACCUGCAAAAAUUUGCUGACAGCGAAUAUGUAUGGGAAUGUGGCUUGAGCAGCAGGAGGGACAGAGGCAUUGGUAAAAGCCUAGAGAGACAACAAAAUUAUGUUGUUACAUCCUCAGUCAGAAAACUUGGUAACUAACAUGUGAAGUCCAAGAAACAGUUGAAAUUCUAAUUCCAAAAGAUUUAAGGACUUUGAAAGAUAAAGUAGCAUUUACUCAUCUAGAGCACUGAGAGCUCAUAAAUAUUAUAAACACAAAGUUCUGCAGUCAAACCUAAUUCAGAGUAAAAUCCUUAAUCAUUGCAACAGCAAUCACCUCAAUUUUCAAGGUUAUGAGGGAAACAAACACAUUAAAAGUAUUGUUAUGGCAGGUAUUUUCAAAUUCAAUGCACACCAAGCUGUGCUUCAUCUCACAUCAAUAGCCGGCAAAUGAAUUGUUAAAAAGUUAAAAAAGCAACUACUACGCCUCUUGAAAAAUUACAAAACUUGGCCCCCUAAUAAUGAGAUCCACCCUUCCAUGAUUGCAGACUCCAAGAAAAUAAUUAUAUUGAUACAAGACUUUAAGGCAUGACAAGGCACAAGAAACCAUAAAUUAUCAAAAAACACCAUAUAUGAUAUUCAUAUCACUACAAGAAAGCAGGAUUCAUGAUUGAGCCCUCUAGAUUGCACACAAAACUUGUGACAGAAUUUACUUGAAUAUAACACAAAUUGCAAAUAUUUUGAGAUAAUGAACUAGAUUGCACACAAAGCUUGUGACAAGAUUACUUUAAGAUUCCACAAACUGUGAAGAAACAACAGUACCAUUUGUUCUCCCCUGCAGUGACUCCUAAAAUCAUCUCUAAGACAGAAUCACAACGUGAUAGCAAUUUCCAUAGAAACAACGGGUAACAUUGUUAUGUUAACUCAUACAACUCUGAGCUCCGUGCUUUAAUCCAUAACAUAGCCAACACAUGUCUCUAUAUGUGCAAAACAACCUAACCCAGGUCACAGUGUAAAAAAAUUUUGCCUCCUACAAAUGUUAUAGUCCCAACACAAAAAGCUGGAUAAGCUCGAUAAUUGUUUUCCAGUCCUCUUUGUAUCACAAAGCACAACUAGAUUUUCAUCAAGUAGUCUAGUCAAUUUGAACAAACCACACAGUAAGAAUUCAAACCGCAGAGCUUUACAAAGUGACAGCAAACUCAGUGUGGUAGAAGGCUGUUAAUUUUAUUUAUCAAUACAGAUAGCAAUUAUCCAGUCAGGGAAUCAACUGAAUCAAGCAGCAAGCAUACACCACUUACCUGACUAGAGAUAUUCUGAAUCAGAUACUUAUGAUCAUAUGGAAGAUGAACACUAGCAUGGAUUGCAAUGAUAUUCAGACUUGAUUCUCCUGUUUCAAUCAUUAUUAUCAGAGAAAGACCCACAGAAUAACAACAGAUACAUAUAACUAAAGAACUGUACUACAAGAGACAUAUAAGAACUUAGAUGAUCCAAAAAAAACCAUUUCAAUCAAAAGAGGUUGCAAAACUGAAACACAAUAACAAAAUCAUCCACCAAGCUUGAUACUUUUAAAAGAAACGGUGUACUACCAAAUAGCAAGCUUACCAUCAUUCUUAACACCAACUAAAAGUUCACCUUCUUCACCAGCAGUAACCACUGAAAAGGGGCAAACAGCAUAUCAAAGUUCCAUUUUGGAGGAAAGAGAAUGCACAUUGUAAUACAACAAAGAGGUGAGAUUACAUGCACUCAUAAUUACAAAUCAAAAAGGAGUUGUUACUUACAUUUAGAAGGAUUUUUCGGGAAAACACAGAUAGUCUCCACCCCAGGAGCUGGACCAAAACUCCCACCACCAAUAUCUUGGACAUCAUCACCGACGAUACCAAGAUCACUCACUUCCUCAGAACCUUCAACUAUUUCAGCAUCUGCAUCCGGUUCACCCCUAACAACUAUCAAGUGAAAAAACAGCUAAUGAACCUCAGUCGCAACUUGUUACAGAUACAAAUUCAAUGAAAACUCACUUAAAUUGUAUGCAUGGUAAUUCCCUAUAUCAUUGCUAGCAAAAUAAGUACAGAGAAUCCAUAGCAAUAAGCUUGGCAGAGCUAAGCAGAAGCAGAAUCAAAUAAAUCAAUUUUCCCGGAAAUUCUCUCCAGGGACCAGGCAGAGUUAUUAACGAAACAGUCGAGCAGCAUCCUCAUCAGUAAUAGAAAAGUUUCUGCCUAUUUGAAAUUGACAAUUGCCCCUUUCAACUGUACACCACAGUAAAGGAGCAACAGAUUUCGUAUCAAUUAAACGGAAUAACUACAACGAUCGCCACUUGAAUGAAAUAUAGCCUCUGCCUAAAAGACUACAUAGCAUAUUGUUUAAAAAGAGAGAAGCAAUUCAUUCAGGCAGCGUUUAACCUCAAAUCAACACAGGCGUUGACCGAGCAACAUAUGAAAGAGACCUAAAUCACAUGCAUGACAAGGGAAACUUAUGCAGUAGUAACUAUCAUUCUAUACAUGAACGAAUUGCGUGGUAGAAUUUGAAUCCGAAUUCGGAUCGAAUGUGAGUUGGACGGAUGAAAAGCCCAGAUAAUGUAUAGCAAUUAAAAAAUCCAAGCAUCGAACUCAUUAUUCCGCAUGCAGAGGUAUCGAUACAAGUCAAAUUAAGCAUUAGAAAAUUGAACUUUCCGAGCUACACUUGUCAAGUACAAAUCAUUCGUACAUAUAAUCGAAAAUGAAUCCAGAUCUACGAUCGUAAGCAAACCUUGGAGGAAAGAGGAGGAAAAUACGAGCAGCGCGAGGACGAAGAAAACCCUAAUCGACAUUCUCGCCUCGGUAAAUGAAGAGGGGAGAGAGAGAGAGAGAGCACAAAGGGUACAGAUAGACUUCCAGAAAAAUGCACGAAGGGGGGGAAUGACUGGGUUUCGGUUCGGGUUGGGGUCUGGGCUCUGUUUUUGGGUGAAAACUGGAGCGGAGAUGAGGAAUUGGGGAGUUUUGGGAAACUGGGAGCUCUCUCUAACUCGAGGCCGGAGACAGAAAACCAACAACCAAAAGACGUCAAUGCUGAGGCAACUUUGCCCCCUUUCCCUUGCACCUUUUUUAUGCCCUCUUUUUUUUUUUCUCUUUUUUCUUUUUUCUCUCUCUAAUCGCUUAUUAGUUUUUUUUAUCACUCUCCAUUUAAUGAUUGAUGUUAUUGCAGGAGUUUUAGUUAUUGUGUUUGGAUCCCUAGAGAGUUUGGGAGAGUGGAGUUGAAGUAGGCUUGGAAUUUGGGAACCAGGCUUUGUCUAAUAUUAUAUAUAUAUAUAAUGUUUAGAUUCAGGAAUUAGAGUUGCUAUUCUCAAAUUCUAUUCUAUUUAAUUUUGUUUUUAAAUUAGCACCAUUAUUCUUGAUAAUUUUUAUAAUUACUAUUAAGUUGCUAAUUUAUUUGGAUUGCUUCUUUCUCCUUUUUUACCAUCUUAUUUUAGAAAAAAAAAUUAUCAAUUCCAUGAGAGGAUUAUUAGCACAUUUUUAGUCCUUACUUGUGGGAUUGAAGUUCAACACGUGGGUUUGUUUGGAUAGAGGAUUAUUUGUCAAAAUUUAUUUGCUUACAUCAUCGUUACAAUUUCCAACACAUCUUUUUAUCUUUUUAAUUAUUUUUUUAUUUCACAUACAUCACAUCAUAAAAAUUAAUAUAGUAAAAAUAUCUCAAAUAAUUUUAUCUCCAGCUUCGAAACAAAAACGUGGUGUGUUUGUGAUAUUUCAUUGCCAGCAAACCUUUUGAUAUCAUUUCAAGCUGGGUCUUGUAUUUCUUUAGCUAUCCACCUAUGAAAUUCAUUAUAUACAAAAAAAAAAAAAAGGAAGGAAAAUAACAUUAUAUUAUUAUAUACUAGCGGUAGUCCACUAGAUUGGGAGAUGAGAUUUGAGUAGAGAAAAAAAUAAAAAGGAAGAGAAAGUAAUAAGUCUUCCCAAUUGAUUUUGGAGGAUGCGCCGGGGGUAAAAAAAUUUCCAUCCAAAAUUGAACAGAAAAGGAAGGAAAUUUAUAGUAAAAAAGUUUUCCAUCCAAAAUUGAACAUAAAAAAGUUUUUUUUUUUUUUAAAACUAUCCAAUCUAUCCUUAAAAAAGCUAUUGAAUAAAAAUUUAUUAACUAAUAUAUUCAAGAUUAUUUCAUUUAUUUAUUUCAUAAACUCUCAAACGUUAAAACCCCUUUUCUUAUCCAUCACUUUCUCUCAUAGGCUUUCUUUUAUUUCCUUUUCUAUCCUCAACUCCCAAACUAGCUGUUGGGCUCUUAGGCCUUAGCUAGCGGAGGAGGAGAAGCAAAGAAGUCUUCGUCUCCAUUGCAAUUUGCGAGGUCAGGGCCUAGUUACAGGGUAAAAAAAUGGAUCAAUUUAAUCAUCAGGAAACUGUUUAUCAUCAUCAACAAGUUCAGCCCCCAAAUCCCCCGCUUCCCGAGUUUGGACAGCCUCCGCCUGAUAUGCACUUGUCUUCUAAUCGCCCCAAUCUUGACUCCAGGUUUUGCCCCCGUCCCUUUCUCCUGCAAUUCCAGAUUCUCAACUUUUGCAUGCAAGUUGUAUUUAUGAGAUUGGGUUUUGCUUCCCUGGUGGUUUUUUGCUUUCCAGGUUUAGCUGGGAUUGUUUGUCCUGAUUUAUUUGAUCCUGACGCCUUAACUUGUGAACUGUGUGCUAGGGUUUAAGUUAAAAUGGGGGGUGUUAAUUGGUUAGGAAAAGCAUGUGGAACAAGUUCAAAAUUUUGAUGCUAUAUGAUGCUGCCCUAUUAAAGUGGGCAAAUGGGUGUAUCUUGGGUAAAUUUAUUCUGAGAGGUUAUGUUACAAGCUACCCAUAAAUUUAACUAGUUUUUAGAAAGAGAAAUCAUUAGCUGGAAUUAUCAGGGAGUGUAUGAUUGUGGUUGCUUUUCAAGGAAAAGAGGGUACAAGUUUUUAGGUUUAAAAUUGUGUAGAAACCUUUACUGUGAAUGAGGAUUUCUGUUAUUGAGUAUACAAAGCUUCUCUGACUGGUAAAUGCAGUGUAAUUUGUAGGAUGGAAAUGCUUAAUAUUGGAAAGUGAUCCAGUGUGUAUAUUUGUUAUCUGAAUGUAAAGAAAGCAGAUGAUUGAAAAUCUGAUGAGUUAAAUGAAGUUCUGGUUAAGUUUUACUGCAUUGCUUACUAGCGUGUGGAAGUUGAAGUGGUAGAUGCAACAAGAUAAUUGCUUUUGACUUUCGUUGAAGAAUUAUCUGAAAAGGAAUACACAAAAUCGUGUCAGGCAUUUACUGAGGUUAAAGGAAGCGAAUGCUGAAAACUGUUGAAACUCAAUUAGCUGUUGUCAAGUAAUAACACUCACGUCUACCCCAUUGACAACCAAAAAUGAGAAACACUAAAAUUACAUGUUUAUCAUAUAAAUUUGUGCAUCCUUGGCUGAUAUAGUAUUUGACAUUCAAUACCUCAACAGCUUAUGUUCGAGUUGUGGGAAAACCUUAUUACCACCCUUGAGACACUUCAAAUAAGUGAAUAACCUCUUAUUUGCACACGACUGGUAGUCCACGUUAGAAAUAAGGAUUAAGCUUAAAACAGCAGGAUUAUUUGUGUGGUGAUGAUUGCUUGUCCUAUGGAGCUCACAAACUAUAUGGAAAUUGUAGCUGAGGUCAAAGGAUCUACUCCUUUCCAUUUUCCCUUUGAUAAAUCCUGAGCAUUACUUUUGCAGACAACUUCACCACUUCUGGACUCAUAAACAAGGAAGGUUCUUGUAAUACUAGAAAUAUGAAGCUUCUCUAAUUUAUGGUGUCAGCGUGCCUGUAUAGCACUUUUUUGUGUGGCGUAGCCAAAUGUCGGAGCAAAAAAAAAAUUACAAAUAGGGCCACACAUCAAUUUUCUUGUCUUAUAGAGGCACAAUCAUUUUCCUUCUCUUGUCAUGCUUGCACAAGUAAUAAUCUGUUUCUUGGGUAUAGUAUUUUCUUACAUGGCAAUAAAUAUGCUGCUUUACAAUGGUCAACAUAUUUUUCCGCCAUCAUCCUCUUGUAUUAGGUGCAGUAGAAUUCAUGAUUUCAUUGAAAUUUUGCUGAUUUAUUCUGUAAAUGCCAUGGAUCAAUGUAGCUUAGUUUGAGAAUAGAGCACUUUUUCUUUGAGUCUCGAGUGUGUUGUUGAGGAUGGAUGGUGAUUGUUAAAUACAAGUCAAUUUAUCAGUCUUUCAAAAUCGAAUCUCUGCCAGACUUACAUAGAGAGAGAGAUUUAUUUCCUGCCUUGUGAAACAUAGGUCUUUUGUGUAUUUUAGUUCUCUGCUAAAUGUACUGUGUUUACCCAUUCAUAAGAUGAAUAUCUAGCAUCCAGUUGGCAUAGUAUCGAUUCGCAAAAAUGGUAUAACAGGUCAUAUAGCUUGGGUCUUUGAUAGAUGAAACUUGAUAACCCUUUAUACACAAGAGUAUAUAUCUCUGCUGGAUAAAAUUGUUUUUGAAACAUUAAAUUUUUCAUAUAUAUUUUACUGGCCCUUCUCUCUCACCUCCCCCCUCUCUCUCUCUAUCUCUCUGUCUUUUUAUGUCCUUAUUCUCCUUAUUGCCUGGGUCGUCACUUGAAGGCCAGAAGCAGUGCCAAAGGACUCCAUUGCCACAAGGAAAGUUCAAAAAGCUGACCGUGAGAAGCUACGGAGGGAUCGCUUAAAUGAGCAGUUUGCUGAGUUGGGAAAUACCCUUGGUAAGCCCAAAAGUUUUGAAUUAGCUUGGUAACGUGGCAACUAAUGCAUUCUGCUUUCUAUGAAAUCCGUUGAACAUCUUAUCCUGGAACUCAUUAUAAUGAAAAUAGUAUCCCAGAAAUGUAUAUUGUGAGUGGGUUCAUAUCUCUUCUUCUGUACCUUGCUUUACUCGCAGAAUCUUAUGCAAUUUUCUCAUUACUUGAAUUUCUUUUUCUUUGACUUAUAAAGAGUUUGCCCCAUUUGUAAGGAAUUGUUUAACCAAAUCCUUCUGAAGAUUCACCACUUUAGUGGAUUUUUUCUCUGGUCAAAUCUCAUUCGUGACAUGGUCUAAAAUUAUCACAUCUGGAGGCACAUUGCCACCGGAUAUUCUCAUAGCAAUCCCCAGUGGACUUCUUUUUUUUUUUUUAAAUUUAGUAUGCUAGUUACUGUUAAACAUUAAGCAUUAAAUGACUGCUUGACUUCAUAGCAGAAGUGGGGACCAGUUGUGGGACAUUCAUGUCAUGGAUCUUUUAACGCUUGUUCCCUCUCCUCAUUACCUUAAUACUGGAAAACGAUUUGCACUCUACUAUAGUUGAUGUCUCAUGUGCUUUCUGUUUAGUUUUGUAGAGCAACUAGACAACUGUAUGACGAUGUUUAAUCCUGCACCCCUAUAAACCCUCCUUGAAUAGACAAAAUCGUAAUUUCUGGUAUUACUUGAAACAACCAAGAGAUUUUAUAUAUUCAAUUUUCAGCCGGUAUGAUCAUGAAAGUAGCUUGUUGUUAUGUAGUGUUGUCACUGGUGUUUCCCAAACAUCUGUAACUUGGGCUGAUUAUGAAGUUUGAUUUCAACCGCAAAACUUUGUCAAGAAACUUAUUAGUUCUGUACAUAUGGUUGAACCUAUAUCCCUUUUUUGUUUGGUUCAAGUAACUUAUUUACCUGUAGUAAGUUUCAUGUGAUUUUUUUCUCAUUAGAUGUGUUUAACGAGUUUGCAGAUCCUGAUAGGCCAAAAAAUGACAAAGCAUCUAUCCUCACUGAUGCUAUCCAAAUGGUGAAGGAAUUGACUGCUCAGAUUGACAAAUUAAAAGCUGAACAUGCUGCACUUAACGAAGAAUCUCGUGAGGUGAUUGUUCUAGCUACUCAUCCCCUUUUUUCCCCUUUCUUUUCUUCUCCUCACGGCCCGGUGAGGACUGUUUUACUGAAUACUUCCAUUUCCAAGCAGUUGACUCAGGAGAAAAAUGAUCUUCGAGAAGAGAAGGCAUCUCUUAAGUCAGAUAUUGAGAGCCUUAAUGCACAACAUCAGCAGAGAGUGAGAGCUAUGUAUCCGUGGGCAGGCAUGGAUCAUUCUGUUGUUAUGCACCCAGCUUCUUAUCCUUUUCCAUUGCCCAUGCCGAUACCUGCUGGUCCAAUUCCCAUGCAUCCAUCUUUGCAGCCAUUCCCACUAUAUGGGAAUCAGAAUGCUGCGGUUGUUCCAAGUCCUGUGUCAACUUUUGUUCCAUAUAUGGCUCCUAAUAGCAUUAUUGAACAGCAAUCAACACAACAUGUUUCUCAAGUAACACAGCCUGGUAGCAGAUCCCAUACUUCAAGCAGGCAAGAUUCUAGACCCAAAGCAUGCAAUCAGAAGGAUAGCAGAAGUGAAAAAAGCGAGACUUCAGAUGAUGUUGCAACUGACCUUGAGCUCAAGACCCCUGGGUCUACAGUAGAACAGGUUAAAAUACAGGGUUUAUUCUACUCUGUCAAGAAGGUCUUUUAGGUAAAAUAAUGAAGAGAAUUUGACAUGGCUGAACAACCUUGUGCAGGAUGUUUCACCUGGACAAAGAAAAGCCAAAAGAUCAUCUAGGAAGGAGAGUAACAUUACGGAAGGAAGUUCUUCAAGCAGGUGUUCAUCAUCUCACAGUGUACAGGCUGCUUCGUCAAGUAGUGUAGUUGGUGGCACAAAAACAGAUGAGUGAAGGAGGAAACCUGAACCUGGUUAUUUCAAAUUCAUUCUCCUCUCUUAAUCACUCUGAGUUAACCUUUGUCAACUGCUGGUGGCAUUCUUCUACUCUGGUGUGCAGCAGCUGCGGCGGACUUCAGCUGGAUACCAGAGGACGAGUCCAAGUGUAAAUAUGGUGUAGUUCCUCUCCAUAAGUAGGUUAGUGCUUCCACAGGACGUGGAUUAUAAUGGAGCCAGCAUCUGGAAAAGUAAUUUCAGAGGUGAUCUAUGUAAGCUUUGCUUUAUAUUUUUUGACCUGUUAUCACGCAUUCCUUCUUUCUUGUUGUACAGCUUUGUGUAAAUUUUAUGUUUUAAGGAUUAGAUAAAGAUUUUACUGACUUCAAGGCUGAUCAAGUUUCGGUGAAUGGACUUGUUGAUGAAUGAAUGGGGGCACCACACUGAAGUUAGCCGAGUAGAAGUCAGGAGAAUACAAAUGCAGUGAAGUUAGCCGAGUAGGAAGUCAGUCAGUGAUGAAAGUUAUGCGACUCUUCACUGCUCCUAUGUGAAUGUGGCACGACCAAAUUUUCACUUCAGAGUCGUUACCAUUGGCCAUGCCCACUACAUUUCUAGCGCUCCAGUUCUUUUUCUGCUUUUGAAGGGAGAAUGGAGUGCUAUUUGACCCCUUUUCGUCUUUUUUUUAAGGAGUGCUGGCAAAGAACGUGCUGCAGCGUAAUGGUCAUUUGGAUUUGUUACGGUACAACUGACACCAUAGGAUGUGCCGACGUCAUAGUGAGUGGUAUUUGCUAUUCGGUGAGCCAUUCUGAUGGGGGAAAAAUAUAAAUAAAUAUGGUGUAGUUUUCAUUGUUGGUUGGUGUGGGUGAGAAAGUAAGGCAGGACAUAAAUAGGAGAUACAAACGUAGCCGCGCGUGCAAUUCCUUCCUUUCCUUUUUUUUUUUUUCCAUCUUUUAAUGGAGGAGAUAUAGAUACAAAAAAUGGCUGCUACGGACAAAUUUUCAUCUUUCAACGGACGGGUAUGUUUGGACGAGAAAUUAUUUGAAAUGAUUAUUAUAGUAAUUUUUUGUAAUGUGAUGUAUGUAAAAUAAAAAUUUUAUUAAAAAUAUAAAAAAUUGAUUAAAAAUCAUAAUUGUGAUGUAAGUAAAAUAAUAUUUAGAACAAAUGUUGCUAUCCAAGCUUGCUCAAUUAAAUAUUUUGUUUGUAUAAAAAACACAAUUUCUAAUUAAUUUUUUAACUUUCUGUUAUCAUUUGAAAAAAAAAAUUAUCUUUGCAUCUUUUUAAUCAGUUUAUUUGCAUACAUCCCAUUCCAAAAAAAAUGAUAUAAUAAUUAUUUGAAAUAAUUUUCUAUCCAAACAUAGAUAUUAACCAUAGGUUACCAUUAAAGAAACCAUUUGGAAUUCAUAGAAUUUAAGUCAUAAAUUGCAAAAUUUAUAUUAAAAAAUACAUAUGAAUUGCAAAUGAAUUACUCCCUCCGUCCUACUUUUAUAGUCUUGUUUUCCUUUUUCAUCCGUCCCAAAUUGUAGUCCACUUCCCCAUUAAGGAAUGUAGUAAUCUUUCAAAUUGUCUAAAAUACCCUUAUUAAAUAUCUUGUUAUUAAUACAUUGUUAUUAAAUACUAACUCACUACAUUGAAUACAUUGAGGUUUUCCAAUGCACUCUUCGUGAUUAGCAUAAGGGUAUUUUAGGAAAUUAUUAAUCUAAAUUUAUGUUUCCAACCAAAUUAAUUACAUUUUCUUAAUCUGUGUGAAAAAAAAACCAAGACUAAUAAAACGGGACGGAGGGAGUAUAAGCAAUGGUAAUUGGACUUAAAUCCACUGACUGUAAAUUUCAAGGCUUGAAAAAAAAAAGGAAUUUUUUGAAAAAGCCCAAGGCAUUAUCUUGACUCUUGAGGUUAGGUGGACCAUUGAUUGUGUAAUGCACGCGGCGACAGCAAGCGUGGGAUGAGAGAGAAGCAGCCAACAACUCCGUACCAGUAAAAUACAUCGCCACAUGUCGAGGGACUGACUGAGAGGAGGCUUUCUCCCAAUCUUAAAAAAUUAUCUGCUCUGUUCUCUCUGCUCACUUCUGCUUGACGACGAGUAAAACUUUUAGUUGGCCAAGGCGUAGUAACAGAGAGUAACAACAAUAAUGGCUGUGGCUUCCACAUCUCUGGCUUGCCCCCAAUUCUCCGGCCUCCGCCGUUCUUCUUGUCCCAAGCUCGAUUCGCCACCUCUUUCCAUUUCCACUGCUCAAUCUUUCUUCCAAAAUUUGGACUCUCAUCUCCGCCUUUCUUCUUCUUCCCCCCGCAAUAAAGCUUGCCGGCCUGUCGUUGCAAUGGCCGGCUCCGGAAAGGUUAUUUCUUUUUCAUCCUUUUUAUUCUAGUCUUUUAUUAUUAUUGUUAUUAUUUUUUUUUGUAAACUUGACUUCUGUGACUGACUGUUGUUACUGUUGCCAGCCUAUAAAUAUUGGGUUCCAUGAGAUGACAGAUUUAUUCCUUUGAAAUUCAUUGGGGUAGUUCUGGACUCUUAAUUAUAGUUUAAGGAUUUAUGCUAAUUUAUUAUGAAAAUGUAAUGAGGCAUUGGAUUUAAUGACUCUAGUCAUUGGGUGGUUGAACAGUGAUGAAGUAAACUGGACUUCAAUUUGAUACCUUUAUUUCUUGUCCCCUCCCUCAAAACCAAACUAAAAAAAAAAAGAGGAAAAAGAAAAGGCUCCGGAUGGUAAGAAUUAGACCUUGUACUACUUUAUUCGUAAGUCUUCAAUGAAAUGCGAAUCUCUAAAAGCUCAAAUUGUUCGACAAGAUCAUGAUGCUUACCGCACAGUGAUACAUUAUGACAUUUCUUUCAUAAGUUUAUUGGCAUACUGAGAAAUGAGAAUGGUGUCAUUGGUUACUCCACUUUCUUCUUUUAGCCAAGCCGAAGCAAUCCACGCCUCUACGCCAUCUCUCUCUCUCCCACCUUUUUGCUAGAGUAUGUUAGUCAUGAUGAUUCAGUUUGGUUUUGGAUGAUGCUUCUUGGCUGUUCUUGAAUGUCAUUGUGCUCUGAAUCUGGGAGAUUUUCUUUUUUGUUUUUCCGGUCCUGGUUAAUUCUGAUGGUUCAUUUUCCGAAUAUUAUGCUUUUCCUUAAUGUACUUCAGUUUGUAAAACUUAUUUCAUUAUUUCACUCUUUCUGGUUCUACUUGAUCACUUGCUUUCUGAGAAACUAUUCAUCUUCUGAUGAUCAGUGUGACAUGAGAAUAUAUGAGCUUUAAAGAGUGUAUUAACCAGAGUCUUUUGGUUCUUCUUGCAGUUCUUUGUUGGUGGAAACUGGAAGUGUGUAAGUGUCCUUUUCUUUUUCUUCUUUGAGUUCUUAUUUUCAUAAGAUCAUUCAUCAUACAGGUACUUAUACUUGAACUGUGUAUUUAUUUCCUCUUUGCUCAGUUGACUCUUUAAAUGUCCAGUGUUCAUAAUUAAGAACUUUAACAAUUUUAGCAAAGUAGGUCCGGCUCCUGACCAAAAGGUGAUGGGGGUUCUUGGACUUCUAAAGGUGCCAAUAAAAUAAUAAUUAUACCACUAGAAGGCAACACUUGUAAAUUAUAAAUUACAGGGACUGAGAAUCCAAGGUACUAAAUGGACAGUAAUGACUAUUUGAUGUAACAAGAAAAAACUAAUAAGUCACGGUUAUUAAUUUCAGUAGUUUAGCUUAUCUUUCACUGCACUUGCUUAUGUCUUGCCUGUUAUCUUUCUCAGCAAAAUAGCUGUAUUUAAUGCUUGAUUAACCAUCCAAAAAUAGUCCCAGGAUACUGAUAUUCGUAAGUUUAUGCUCAUUGCUAACUAGCCUGUGGUAUUCAUGCUUUUAUUGUUAGUUUUUUCACUCACAAGGUGGGGAUGGGGGCAAGCUUGUUCUUAUGCUUUUUCGCAGCGUGAAAUGCUCACUGCUGGUGUAGUUUGAUAUAUAUGAUCUAGAAUAUGGGUUUUGUGCUCUAUGAAAAUGUGAUUUCUUUUGUCUAAUUAAGUAAGUAGCAUAUUUUUGGCACAUAAUGACAUUAUAAGACAACAUAUUUGCUGAAUAUGUUGAUCUCCUUUUACCCCUCUUUCUCCAUUUCUGAUAGUUCUGGAUAACUUUGACUAGAUAGAGCACACUAUUUAGCAAAGGAUUGAGUUUUUUCAUGCUUUAGCUUUGUUCUUUAUUGACUUCUUAUUGCAUGUUUUGCUCAGAAUGGAACAAAGGAGUCCAUCGGCAAGCUUAUCUCUGAUUUAAAUAGUGCAAUGCUGGAGUCUGAUGUUGGUGAGUUGUCCACAAUAUGCUUUCAAUAUAGCAAUAGCAAGUCACUUUGUCCCGAGUGCAGGAGAGUGCCUCAAUGUGCCCCAUACCGAUGUGAAUUGAAUGAAUGGACACCACACAAGUUCGUGCCUUUCCCUUAUCACACAGCGAUAGUCAUUCUUCUUCCUUCGGGCUCCCUUGGAUUGGUCUUUUUUUAGCGAAUAGGGAACCCCUUGGUGGGAGAUUACUGUUCUUUGUCAAAUAACCCCAAAGUAGUCUUUUAUACUAGUUAUGUCAUUGAGGUUGGAAUGAAAUUGUUGUAAUUGGUAAAAGUUUUUAGUUGUGACAUGUCUACAGAUUUCUAGCAAGCAUCUUCUAGGGAUAAUCCAGUCUCAGUUACAUUUUCUUCCCCGAGUAAGAUGUACCUUAGCUUAGUGGUUAGCCGUAUAUGUUGAUGCUAUGACUAGCAAACCUUGAAUAUAAUACUAUUUCCAUCUAUAAGUCUGUUUGAAAGCUUGUAGAAUUUAGAGCAGUGCCUUGCAUUAUUUUUACGCCUGGGUGGCUACGAUUUGGAGGCUAUACUUUUCUGUUUAAUUGCCAAUUGUGCAUCUUAUCUUGCCACAUUUGAGGCGCUAAACUACUUUGUCUUAGUUAUUUGCUAAUCUAAAUCGUAUUCAGCAGCUCUUCAGCUUUGAAUGCCACAUUACUAGAUUUAUUUUGGCUCUUUGAAAUCCAGAUGUUGUUGUGGCACCUCCAUUUAUAUACAUUGAUCAAGUAAAGAGCUCAUUAACCGAUCGCAUCGAAGUUUCUGCUCAAAAUUGUUGGAUAGGGAAAGGUGGAGCUUUUACUGGGGAAAUCAGGUGAGGUUAUAUGCGUAUUGUACUAUUUUUUCAUUAAACUUGUGGUAAAUCUGGUGAGAUUAGUUUAGUGGGACCAAAAUAUCAGUUGCCUGCAUUCUUGUGUUUCAGAAGUUGGAGAAUGAGUAUUAGGGAGAAGUGAGGCGAUUUGGAUAGGUGGGCAUGUUGUAGCUCACUUGUCUCUGAUUUUGUUACCUUGACUCCCAAUUAUACCAGCUUGCCACUUCACUGGUGAUUACGUAGGUCUUAUGCUUAGAGGUGAUUAGUUGGUUUGACUUUGACAUUACAAGGUUUGCAUGGCAAUGGGGAUUCGAAUCUGAUAAGUUCAAAUGCAUACAAGGGUGUUCAAUUUGGCAAAAUUUGUGAGUUUUAGAUGUUGUGAUGAAGUUGGGACUUGCUUAGUGGUUAGUAACUUUUGCUAGAUUGCAGAAUAUAGAAGAGAGAUACACGAUUAUGCAAGUAUAUGGAAGCAAGAAAAAUCAGGGAUAGCUCCAUCCCAUUCUAAAUAUGGCAGGUGUCUGUGAUUGUCCCCAUUUGCCAUUUAACCUCCACUGGUUUGAAAUGCAUUAGAGAGAGAGGGAGGGAUGGAAAGGGUGAGAGAGAGAGAGAGAGAGAACCUUACAGCAUUUUUUCAUUCUAGCUCAAAAUUCUUUCUUGCAGUGAAUGGAUUAUGCAGAAGUUUUAUCUUGAGUUAACUGUAUAUUAAUAGAUCUUUACAAGCUUUUAGGCCAACAUUCUUUAGACAGAGUUUGCUCUUUCAAUAGGACUACUUCCUUGGGUUUUCAAUUGCUGACUGGCUUAAUAGUCUGAGUUCAGCUUAUUGAUCAUUUUAAUUGUUGAUUGGUUUGUGGCUAUUUCAAUGCCUUAACAAAUGACUGAAAUAAUCUUAAUUUUCAUUUUUGUUUCAUAGUGGGGAACAAUUGAAAGAUAUUGGAUGCAAAUGGGUCAUUCUUGGGCAUUCUGAGCGAAGGCAUAUAAUUGGAGAAGAUGAUGAAGUAAGAGUCUUCCAGAUUUUACUACUUUUUAACCUGUUUUCUUCUCGCUAGUCGAUUUGCAGUUUGUGCUUUGAAAAUCUUUCUAAUUUACCAGUAAAUAAGUAGAGAAUUAUAAUAAAAAUGAAACAAGGAAUUCUUAAAACUGACGAACCCCUUAUCAUGCAGUUUAUAGGAAAGAAGGCUGCUUAUGCCUUGGGCCAAGGUCUUGGAGUGAUAGCCUGCAUUGGAGAGCUUUUGCAACAAAGGGAAGAAGGAAAAACUUUUGAUGUCUGUUAUAAGCAACUGAAGGCUUUGGCAGGCAAGCUGUUAACUCAUCUUCCAUAAACCUUUUCCUUUGCACCCCCUUCUUCUUCCCACCUCCCUCCUUCCCUCUAUCUCUCUCAUGAGUAAAUGUUUAAGUGGGAGAUGGACUAUCAAAAAAGAAAACAUGGUUAUCAAUUUUAAUGUCACAUAUAAAUCAUGAUAUUGCAGAUGCUGUACCAAGCUGGGAUGAUGUUGUUAUUGCCUAUGAGCCUGUAUGGGCUAUUGGAACUGGUAAAGUGGCCACACCUCAGCAAGCACAGGAAGUGCAUGUAGCUGUUCGCGAUUGGCUUAGUAAGAAUGUUUCAGCUGAAGUUGCUUCUAAAACAAGAAUUAUCUAUGGAGGUCUAAUCUCUCUCUCUCUCUAUCUCUCACUCCCCCCUCCCCGACAAAAAAAAAAAGAACCAAAAAGAAAAGUAGAAGCUAUUGUUCCUGUGCAGCUUGAUUAACUAUUGCUGUAUAUGAUCUCAAAGAAUGCUGUGGGUCAGGAAUUCAAUUGACCUUGUCGUCCUUGUCUUUGUUUCUGCUCCAGCGGACAUGAGCUUUCCAGAUGCUUCAGAAUAUUUUUGAUGGUUGAAUACUUUUUUUUUUUUAUAUUAUUAGACUACUGACUAUCUUUUUGCAGGUUCUGUUAAUGGAAGCAACUGUGCUGAUCUUGCAAAACAAGAAGAUAUUGAUGGAUUUCUUGUAGGUGGUGCUUCCUUAAAGGUACUAUUCUGCCUUUUAGAUAUUUAUACCUAGUUCUGUUGUCUACUGUUUAGGUUUUAUGUUUGUUUACUUGGUGUGGACUAGCAAAUGAAAACUUAACAUAUUUCAAAGUUUGGCCAAAAAGGGAUUGGGGUGAGCAAGGAGAAGAGGCUCUCUCGUGCCAGUGAUAGCAACAUGUUAUCUUGCCAUGACUGCAAGCUGUUUAUUUCAUGCAGAUAGUUCGGCAACUUCACAACUUUGAAUACUGUCACUUCUUAUCUUCAUUUGAGACAACAGUUCAUCUCAUUUUGUUAGUUCGCAGUACCUAGACUUGAUGGCAUGUUAGUCUUAUAUUUGGCAAUCGUUUGCUAUAUUCAAUCAGAUUCAGAAGGCUUUUAGACAUACAAUCCUAUGUUUAUUGUUUAGUAACCUUUACAUGUGUUGCCUUUGGUGUUAAUAAUUGAAUAUCCAUAGAGGCAUGUGGUAGUGAAUUUGUUGUUCUUAAUGACAGGGAUUAGUGAUCUCAUAAAAAUUGGCGCAUUUUGAUUAUUGAGGUUUUCUUCUCCAUUUUAAGAGAUGGUUUUUUAAGGAGCUUUAUUUUAGAAAGAGGAUGCUUUGAAUUUCUGAGUGUUGCUGGUGUUUUUGGCUCCUAAAAGUGGGCAUUGGGAGUUUAGCAGGGUGAGUGGUGUCUGUUGGGAAAGCAGAGAGAGAGAGAGAGAGUCACAUACCUGGAACAUAAAAUUGAUGUUUGAUUCAUUGGCUGCAGGGACCUGAGUUUGCUACAAUUGUUAAUUCUGUAACUUCCAAGAAGGUUGCUGCAUGAUCCUCUGAGGUAGCUUUUGGCAUCAAAAGGAUAGGCGGAUUGGAGUAUCUUCUGAGGUAUAAGUAUUGCGCAAACAGGAUCUUUUGGUCAGAUUUUGAUCCUGUUCAACUUCUUUGUCCCAUACAUUGAAUGAUGCACUUAAUUCGCUUCAACUAUAUAAAAUAAUAGAGAUUGUAUGCUAAAAUUUUAGCUUUUGGUGUAACAAAAUAAGUUUUGAGUUCAACAAUGUAUGAUCUUCCCGGAACAGAGUGAUUUUAUGUUAUGCAACAUAAAUUUUUCGCUCAGAUAUAAAUAAAACGCAGAGGAAUCAAGAGUUGGAUUUUGUUUGUUCUGUUCUCAUAUUUGAGGGGGCAAAAAAUAAAAUGGAAUGUCUUGUUGGUGAUGCUUACGGAACUUAAGUUGUGGACUGGUUUGAGCUUGAAAGCUUAUUAAGUUUGAAUCCCGAGCCUUUUUAUUUAUUUAUUUAUAAAUCUUCAUUUCCUCUUUUUGGUUAUCCCUUUUUUUUAAAAAAUAUUUUUCAAUCUGUCAUGGAGGAGGAGGUGGAAGAUGGGGGGGGAGAGCUCUACCAUUUAUUCUUGGUUGGCAGCAGCACCAAAAGUAUGAUGUGGCUCUCUAGAAGCUGCACACAAGAAUCGGGGUGGAGUUUUCUAAGUUUGCUGAGCAAAUACACUGAACUGAGAGAUGGCUACUUAAAAUAAGCAGUUUAAUUUUCCGCAGUGUUCUUUUGAAAGGAAUUCAAGUUUUUAUUUUGGUCAAAAUGAGCCAGAGUUUUGUUUGACAAGUGAAACUUAGUGCUAAAACAUUCAAAUUAUCGUUUCUUGACCUUUGCCAAGUGCUGGGGUUAGCCUGUGCACGUCUACGGAAAAGGGUAUGCGUACGUUUAUGUUGGCACCACGGCGGCAAGUGGACUAAGAGCAUCAGCAGCUUUGAGUGAGCAUUAGUUAAAGAACAGGAGAAUCCACACUCAAAAGCAUAUAUUAUUCCCAAGCAACUCUUCCUAGAAAGUAAAGCAUCCCAAAGGCCUUCAAUGUCUUCUACUAUAAAUCAUCCUUCCAAAAUGCUCGAAAGAUGGUAAGAAAACAGCAGAGGAGAGAGAUGGGUUGGUUUUAUUCCAGGAGGGGUCCGGAAUGGAAACAAGGAUGGAGAGGCCAGACGAUGGCCUCGCUCUCCUUGCCACCGCUUCCGCUACUGGCCAUAUUUGCCAUUGUCAUUUGCUUGUUAUCAUUGCCCCAAUCCACAAGCGCUGCAACCAUCGACUUGAAGUUGCUCCUCUUCUUAGUGCCCAUCCUUCUAAUCUUGUUAAUUCGUCCUAGCUUUUCUGGUGGCUGGUUCAACUUCGGGACUCCAAAGCCCGGGCCCGGUUCAUCAGCACAUCAAAGUGGCGGAUUCCCAUGGGGUGUUGCCUUGUUGGUGGUGAUCCUCGUGGUGUUGGUUUCUUAUCAAUCAUCAUUUCAAUCCAUGUGGUUUACCCCUCUGCGGAGCUCGGAUUAGUAAGCCGAAAGGCAGCAGUAACUUGCAAGCUAGGAGUUGUGUGCAUCUGUGUGUGUGUGUUUAGAAAUAAAUUGAAACAUUACUUAGAAUAGUAAAUUGCCAAAAAAAUUGUUAUGUUUGUUCAUCUGUGAUUCCUGUUGAAAAUUUUCCAAAAUUUGGCUUUCAUAUCGAGGACGGUUUUAGAAGACGACAUAUUAUUCCAGCACUGGCAGUGGUGGCCAUGGGCGGCCCGAAGAGCCAUGCAAGCCUAUGAGUUGCAUCACGGAAUUGGAUCUAUAUAGUUGCUUUAGGCCGAGCACAAAUGGCCCAGUGCAGAAAUGCAGCAACAAUACAUGAGGGAGCGAAUCUAAUUAACAUCUUUAAAUUAAAUAAUCUGCCUUCAACCCUUAACCACCAUUCCUUCCGAAAAAAAACCCUUUACCACCACCAUGAUUUUUUACUCGUUGGAAUCUGUUUCCUUGAAUCAUGAUGGUAUUAUGUAUUAUUGCGCUACCAAUCAAUUUCAAGAAUCAGGAACAGGAAUCAAUGCACCAUGUCCACAACAAAAGUCCAUAUGAACUGCUAAUCAAUUCAAGUUGUGAUUCAGAUAAUAAAUCCUGGGUCACACUCACAUAUAGCGAUCAUUGAAAUAUCGACCAAGAGACCUGCCGACCAUGCAUGAUAAACCAAAAAACAUUUAUCAGUCCAUAAAUAAACCUCUAUCAGUGGAGUAACUGAUGGGGCUCCAUCAAGAAUGGAGAUCCCCAAACAAAUGAUAUGCUGCUCUAAGACCAUCAAAUAAUAACUAAUUCAGGAAAGUUGAAAGCCGUCAAAAAGCAUGCACAAUCUGCACACGCAUUAAGCUAUUUAUUUACUACUCCAUUGAUUAGCAACUUCCUUUCCUCUCUUUUUAUCUUUUCCAUUUGUUGCAGAUUUUCAGCAGAAUUUCAGGCCCUGUAUGGAUUAUGGAGUACAACUCAACAAUCAUGAAUCACCAACAUCAUCUAAGAUAGCAAACUCUCACUCCGAUCCUACCGUGUAACACUUUAACAAUCUAAAGAUUUCCCUGCUUUUAAUACAUGCACACGAAGAAAAAAAAAAAAAGAAAGAAAGAGUAACGCAAAACCAAUUAUUACUAUCAACCAACAAGCUGUAUAUACUUGCAAAAACACAAGAGAAAGUGGACUAUGAACUGAUGUUGCACAAGAACAACUACUACUGGUCAUAUAAACCAACUAUCAAGAAAAGUAGACUGAAAUUGCAGCAAAACAAUCAGCAGCAGUAUCACGGCAGCCACUCCCCAGGGCGAGCUCCCUUCCGGGUACCGAUAGUACUGCAUCCUCCGAUGCCGAUCCCACGGCGAAGUACCCCAAAAGAAGCUCUCCGGGCUGUCUAUGCUGGACAAAAACCGCACGAGGAAUAUCAAGACCACCGGCACGGCAAACAUUAUCCAUCCCAGGUUUACUUCAGCGGUCUCUACCACUGACUCGUAAGAGACGUACGACUGGAGACCAAGAAAGAUACAGAUGACUCCCAAGAACAGCAGAACCGGAUAAGGCAGAGGGUUCAGUGAGAAAACCUCCAAGAAGGAGGCUGCAGUGCUUCUUCUGUGAACCAUGAUCAUAUACGAUUGAUGAUUGAGUGGUGGCUUCUGGAGUCUGGACUCUUUAUUUUUAGGACAAAUUCAGGAAGUCGUUGGGAACUGAAGGGGUACGUGACUUAAUCUUAUUGUACUGCUAGUCUGCUGGUCCUAGUUAUUGCCCAAUUAGCAGCACUUGACUAUAAAGGGGAUGUCUGAUGCAGUGUGAGAGGACCUACUGAAAUUAAGUGGUAAUGUGUACGAAAAGUUUAGAACCGUAGGUUUUGUUUUUGGCGACUUCUUGAUCAUCACCAUUUGGAAUAGUGAACUUAAGUUAAUUUCCUUUUUUAAAAAUUACUUUUUUUUUGGUAGGUUGAGUGAAAGGUACUUUUUUUCCUAGCUAGAAAAUGGUUUCCUUAUUUGUGGGGAUCAGUCAUGCUCAUCACUCAUCAAUGGCCUGUCAACGUAAUUUAAUGUGUCACGGUCCACUUUGCAGUUCUUGAUUGGCAGUUGUUGGACUGGCCCAGUUUGAAAGCAAACUGUAUCCCCAUCUUUUGGUGCCUGAUUUCAGGGCAUUUCAUCGUACUCUCUGCACCAGGAUUUCGAUUAUCUCCGAGUGUUAAUCUAUCUUUGUUGUGUUAUUUUCAGUAAUUUCGAUUGUUGAAAAAAAACAAUCUCUUAUUUUUUUCCAAAUUGAAAAAAAAAAAUCUAAUAGUACUAUGUUUUUUGAAGCAGCUGCAGCAUAAGUGGGUCGUCUAACCAGUCUAUAAUUAAUUGGUUAAGAGAAGCUGAGGAGCUAACAAAGCAGAAUUGAACCAUACAAAUGUUUUAACGCAAAGUUGGAGGUAAUAAUUGUGCGUGCGCGUAUUUGAAUAGCAAGUUAAUGUAAAUUUGGUUUACCAAACAGUGCUGAUUAGAGAUCCACUUGGAAUGAUUCGAAACCAAUGACGAAUGAAUCCAACUACCAACUCUAAAAAAACAUUGGGCCUCCUCAGGCCCAUAUGUCCUUGCAAGGACACUAGCAAGCGGAAUUUAGGCAUGCUGCUGUCUUGGCCCCUAAAUGUCUGCGGACGCUAGAAACUACAUAUAUAUACACACACAAAAAAUGACGAACAGGUAAAAGCAAAAUUUUGUUUGCUUAUCCAACCAGCAAGCCCUCGAGGAACAGCACUUUGUCCAAAUAUACGAGCCUUUUCCACCAGAAGAACCUGAGUUCAGACUUUUCCUUCGUACUGGAAAUAUAACUUGUAAUCAUUCUGCAAGAUUGCCAGAGCGCUUCUGCAAGGACCCUCUACAGACCAGUAGAAUAAGAAAGUUAGAUUCGAUGCAACUAGCCCCUUUAUAGUUCUCAAAAAAAAAAAAAAAAAAGGUUGUCUCACCUCCAAAUACCGUGUGAAGGUGCUGAAGCUGAUCUGCUGAACAAGCAUCAAUUAGAGCAUAUACACCAGGUCUCAAAGCUUCAUCAAUUUCCCUGUUGACAAGUUCAACCAUUGUGCUGUGAGUGCAAGGCAUGUACAAUGUAAAAGUUGGACAGAUGCAAAUAUCAUCCAUAAUUGAUGUUAAAAUCCAGAUUCCUAAUGAUCAGGAUAGUAGACCGCGAAGUGAACGUAAGACACGAGGAAUCACCUCCUGAUGCCGGUUUUAAGAGGACCAAAUCCACAGUAGACCCAUAUGUAACAGGAUAAAAAUUGAAAACAGUAGCGACCAAGGCUAUCCUUCUGCUGCCUUAUCUGCAAAACAAGGAAAAAAUAACCAGUUAACUUCUCUUUUUCUUUUUCCUUUUUUUUUUUUUGAAAUGGCAAUUGUUAUUUAAUGUGGGUGAGACCAGUACAUGCAAUUGAACAUGCAUCAAGUAAUUUAGUUUGCUCUCCAUUCAAGUUCCAAGGUCUAGCUAAAAUUAAGAGUAUACCAACAUUUUUUUUUUUUUUGGGGUCAAUAAGGCAUUUGGACAAGUUCUUUUCCUUUUAGUAAAAGAAUUAGGGAUUUGGAAAAUGGCAAAAGCAUAGGGAUUUGGAACAUGAACUAAAAUUAAAAUUGCAAACCCUGAACAGGUUGAAAUAUCUUGCAGCAUGCCUAAAACACUCGGAAAAGUACAAUCUUUCUAGUGCAUGGAAUAUAAGAAUCAAUUUAUCCACAGAGUUACUUAAGAGCAAUUUAUCCCUGAGUAGUACACGCACACACAUAUACACAUACCUCUUCAUAUACUCUUCUCAGACAGCAGGCACAUUUAACACCCUCUUGCACUUCCCAUGCAAAAUUCCCUCCUCUCACAAUUGGAUCGAUAUUCACCAUCUCCAAGCAAUGAAGAAGAAUACUGACUGAGUGUUCGAGAAGAGCAGCGCAUCGCUGAGUCUCACUAAAGAUCAACAGAACAGGGAUAGCAAAAUUGAUUAGCCAAUAAAAAGGGAUUAAGGCAGAUUUCUAGGACCAUUUGAACCAAGAAUAUAGGAAGUUUUUGCAUACCUUCCAUGAUGCUUAACAAGGGAGGACAAUAAUCGGCAGCAUGCAGCAUAUAGGUCCAAGGAAUACCUUCCGUCUAAGAUACGGCCACUUGUGAUUUUUAGGGAGCAAGUAUCUGUGGUUUUUGAAGUAGUUGAAGAAUAAGAAUCGGAGAGUUGAAGCUGGAGGAGAUUUUGGAAUAAUGCUGCAGGUAUGUUUAAGGACUGCCCAACAUAGGAGGCAUCCAUUUGAAAGAGAGCAUGCUUUCCAGUAACCCUUCUCAGCAACUCAAUGCACAUAAGGAUGACUGACCCAGAAUCUGGACCAGUGUAACCUUCAUCAAAGUUAACAUUUCCUUGGAAAAUGCUGGGCCCCUGCAAGUGUAGGACUACGUUGAAGAGACAUGCAACUAAGCUCUGGAUGUGUCUUUUUACUACGUUCAGACGUUUGCGCCCUAGAAGCAAAUGGAAAAAAUAUAAUUACAUGCAUAAAUAACACUGCAUGAAAUGAUCUAAUUCACAAAAGAUGCAUUACUGUGGCAAUUUGUUAUUUAAAACAACUGGAGAAGAAAAAGGGACUCACAAAGCAUGUCGACUAAAUAGCUCUACUGUGAUACUAGUUCCUUUCCAAUAUCAUCAAUGAAAUAAAUCCCAAAGCAUUAUAUUCACAACUUUUUCCCGCAUGUCAAAUAAAGAAUUUUUGGUCCUGCUGGUCCAUAUGAACCAAGGCCUUGUUCAGCACCAAUCUUUGGUUCUCUGUGCAAAAACUACUUUAUUCUUCCAGAAACAAAUCAGAUGAAGGCAAAAAACCAGAUCGUCUGAUGGGAUCUAACAUAUCAAUUGAGAAAAAUAGGAAGAUACCAAGAGACAUAAAGAUGUACAAACACAGAGAAACCAAGAACAAUCCACGAUUUAACAGACAAGAAAUCAACAUGCCGAAAGUUGGCAAUCCACAUAGAGAUUAUCUUUUUGAAAAUGUUAUUCAAAACAAGAGGGGGGGCAACUGAGUGAGGUACAAAAAGCAAAGUAACCUCACCUGUCACAAAUUCAAUAAGUGAAUCCAAACAAUCAAUGCCAGCAGCAACAACUGAAGAUACCUUCCCACAACCCAAACUGCCAAUAUGAAUUUCAUAGUUUGUCAAGCAGCCGUCCUGCACUCCCACAACAGCUCUUUCUAUAGCCUGAAUUGCUGUUAACAAAUGCAACUCUGAUGAUUUCUGAACCAGAACUCUGAAUGAUGUCCUCAGUCUAGCUAUAAAGUCAUCCAAGCAACUCAAUUCGUGAGAAAUGGAGGACUCAGAAAAGUUCAACCACUCAAUUGGCUUUUCCAUACUUGACCCAGUCUCUUUUGAAGAAAGAGUAGCUAUUUUUCCCUGUAAAACAAUGCACUUUCCGAUAGACCUCAAAUGCAAGUCUAUCAGCUUCCCAUACAAUUUCCUGGAUAAUAUAGGGCUGGAUGAAGGAAAACAAUUACCUAAUUCUUCCAUAAAUUUGAUAACCCCAUUUAACCAUACAAAAGAAAAUGGAGGUGGAGCAACAUCUCUUGCAAAUUCCAGUAAUAAGACUUCAGAAACUCCAAGUAGAAUUGGCAUAAUAUUUUGCAACAGAGCAGUGGAACCCAGCUCCAACUUCAGUCUCAAUAUAGCUGCAGCAGCAAGAAAUAGCUGUUUAAGAAAAUAAGCCUCUUCUGAUUUGUCACCUCUGAUAAGUUCAUGCAAAAAUGUCUUCCUUAAACAUCUUGAAUCAAACAAUUGAACCUUGGCUAGAAGAGAUUCAACAUCUUCAUUUUUUGGAAUGGGCUUCCCUUUCACUACAGAUUUGUCAGAAAUAUAAUGUACUUCAUUAUUUCCUCUGUUACCAAAAGGUUCACUAACUUGUGACAUUUCCGCAUGCAAAACAUCAUUACCAUCAGCACCUUUAUUAAUGAACACCUCUUCAUUUUCCAAACACAGAUGGUCCAAUUCUGGCUGGUCAAGUUUUUGAGCAAUUGCUAGAUUUUGAGCCAAUGAAUCAUCCUCAAGAAGAAAUAGCUGUAAGAAGUAGCUUACAUAUUCUGCACAUGUAUUUAUAAAGAUAUUUAGUUUGUACAGAGGUUCCAAUUCGCAUUUGGACAAUCUUAUCCUCAUUUUACAAUUCUCCGCAUCUAUGUUGCCGAGCCCAGAAGCUAAACCCCAUAGGAAGCCUUGAAUGCAAGAUAUCACAGGUGACAAUUUCUUCAACUCCUGAAACUCAGGCAGAACUCCCAAGUUUUCACUUGCAUAGGCUUGGCUAAAACAUGCAAGUGAGUUCUGCAUGCAUUCGCUUAAAACAUUGGCUACAAGUGCUAAACUUUUACAUGGAUCAUUGUCUCUGCAAAAAUCUAAAUGUGGUUCAUCUUCAGCCAAAUCUGUGUCUUGACUACCAACAGCAAAAUUAUCUUGUCCAUUAUAAUCCAUCCCUGAAAAAAGCAAUGAAAUUUGCAACCGGUUUUUGCCCACUGUCAAAAACAUAUAUGAUGUGUGAUCCAUCAAUGAAAAUAACAAAUCUUUCAGUUGAGAAGGAACAGCUUCUGAAGAAGCAUUUUGAAAUCCAACUACUGCAAGCAAUGACUCCAAAAGCCAUAAUACAGGAGAUGAACCCUCUAAUAGUAAGCUAAUAAGUGAAGAGUGAUUGUAAUCCAUAUUCUCUUCACAUGAAGCCAUCAAUAAACUUUUAAGGGUCCUCCGACAGGAGAGAAACAGUUGGAAAAACUCAUCAUGACCACCUGCAAGUAAGGUGUUGUACCAACCUAACAAGCUGCCAACCGCAACCCUGAAAUGCACGACUUUAAUGAAACACUGAGAAAGAAUUCUAAGCUGUGCAUGCUUCAUAAACUGAAAUUGCAACCCCCCCCUGCCCCAAAAAAAAAGGAGUAACUCAUGUUGCAUGACUAACCAGUAACAUAGAAUUCAAAUCAAAUAAGAAAAGAAAAUAAUAAAGUCCUCGCCCCACUUGAAUUUUCCAAUUUGCAGUGAAUUGUUCUACAAGAUUAAGCUGAUUAGGAUCUGAAAGAGCAUAAAUUCAAACCACAUAUAGACAGGUAGGCAAACUUUCACAAAAAUUUGCAUAUGUAAUACAAAUAAUGUGCAUUUAUACUUCUACUGAAUCCAAACUUAUUAACUAAGAUGCUGGAGUAUUAAUCAAGAGACAAACCCUAUAUAGGGCAAGUAGCCAAUAUCAAAUUCUUAAACUGAAAAAUAAAGAGUUGUUAGCUGAAGCAACCACCAAAGGUCAGUGCUUCCACACCACAGUGACCACAGAUGCAAUACGCAACCUAGAAUGCCACAGUGACCACAGAUGCAAUACCACACUGUCAGUCAAAAGAAGCCCACAUUAUACUGAAAUCAUCAAAGCAAAGGAUAGUCAAGCAAAGACAAGAAAAUAUCGAAAAAUUGAAGGAACCAAUAGCUAAUACAAAAGGUCAUAUCUAAACAGAAGACUAGAUGGUUCCCUGUUGGGAGUUUUUACCGUCUUAACUUUGAACUAUGCUUCUCUUUUUCACUCUGCAUCUUUCUACUGAAAAGUCUGGCACUGUCCCACUUCUAAUCUCAGGACUUAAAUUAAAGAAACUAAUCCUUUUACCAAAUUAUUAACAAAUGAAAGAGCCAAUGUUAGUGGCAAGAGGAUCUUCACAUUGUAAUUUUAAAUUUAAAAUAGUAUGACAGGUAAAAGAGUUCAUUUCAUAAAGUGCCAAGGCUCCAUAAAGCAAAUUUAAGAAAGAUGAUCCAAUGAAUACCCAUUCCACCCCCACCCUUCUGGAUUUAGUUGUUGAUCCAAUUUGCACAAUGCAAACAAAAACCAAAAAAAUUCAUUCCCAAGUUGUUAUACUUUUCUAGUUAGUUAACAUCCAUAGUUUGGUUCACAUCUUAAGACCAAAACACAGAUCUAAACCUUGGAAACAUAUACUAUAAACCUACCGCACAUUGAAAAAAUGGCUUAAAUGCCAAAAACAACAUCAGCAGCUAGCAGAUCUCGCAUAUCAUAUGCAUAGCCACUUAAACAUAUUAUCAGAACUAAGGUUCACAGGAAUUGAACAUACUGCUCAAGUUUGAGAAUGCAAUUC